AUUACAUUGUUACUGACGCAAGCAGGAAAAAAAUCCAUCAAGCUGGCGAUAAUCGUCGAGAAGAAAAAUCUAUCAUGUGUCAAUUUCACUGAUAAACUGCCGACACGCAAUGAACAGAAACUUAUUGCUGAGAAGUACAAGAUGUGAUUCAUUUGAAUAAGAGAAGGUUUUUGGUUACCGGGAAACAGGAAAAAAGGCAUAAAGUACCAGAGUUUUGAAGAAGAAUUGACUAUGUCUAGCUAAAAAAAAGACUGACAUUGAAAGAGAUGUAUACGUAGUGAAAGAGGGGAGAGGCAAAAAGAAUAAGGGUAGUGCUAUCAGCAAAUGAUCAAAGCAGCUGGUARAAGGAAUCCACUUUGUUGAAGUACUCAGAGUUCACUGACUUUGCAGCAGAUAAGUAUCAAAAAACGAAACUUUUGUAAGUAGACAAAAAUUUCACUUUUUGAAAAUAUAGUUUAAUUCAUAAUAUCAAUCGAAAUAAUAAUAUUUUGUUUUCAAAAUAUGCGGAUACGUAUGGACAUGGUCUUAGUACAAAGGCGGCGGUGUUGCGAGAUAAAUUAUAUGCGCGUUUCUCAAAAGUUUCAGGUGCAAAAGGAUAAAGUAGCUCUAUUUUUUCGUAACAUUAUGUCGCCAGAAAGAAAGAUACCUCCCCGCUCAAUUCAACCUAGAAACUCUGGCGAAAAAUUGUCAUGAAACAUUAUUUCAGCAAACAGAAGCAUACAAGUUCCAUCUAAAAGAUUCACCAUUAGACGCUGUACAUGGUUUGCGUAUUGCUCCAUCGGAGUAUAAGAACCAAACUCAAAAGUAAACGCAUAAAAAAACGAUAAACAAAAGCACUAAGAAACGAAGAAAGAAAAAGUAGAAGAAGAAGUAGAAGAAAAAGAUACCUAUUUUAACUGGCCAUCGUCUAUAAUUUAUUUCACAGCUUGUCGAGAAAAGAUGGAUUUUUCCUGUUACUGUAGCUUGAUAAUUUUUACCGUAACCAUGACGACAACAGCUCAAGCUUUGUGUCCAUCACCUUGUUAUUGCUAUUACUACAAAAUAUAUUAUGUCACUUAUUGCAAUGGAAAAGGAUUAACAUUGAAUCCGAAUGAAACGUUUGAUCAUAAAACCCAUUACUUAUACCUGAUCAAUAAUACAAUGACGUCAGUACCAGAAGGGAUCUUCGAUAACACGAAGAAUCUUCUCCUCUUGUCUUUCGUUGGGAAUCAAUUGAGCUCACUGCCAAAUGGACUGUUUCAAAACAACAAAUUUCUUGCAGUGCUG